AGAAACAGGAGGGGUCAGCAAGAAGCAGGAAGGGUCAGCAAAAAGCAGGAAAGGUCAGUAAGGAGCAGGAGUGGUCACAAGUAGCAGGAGGGGCAGCAAGGAGCAGGAAAGGUCAGCAAGGAUUUGGAAGGGGCAGCAAGGAGCAGGAGGGGUCAGCAAGAAGCAGAAAGGGUCAGCAAGCAGCAGGAAGGGUCAGCAAGGAGCAGGAAAGGUCUGCAAGGAACAGAAAGGGUCAGCAAGGAGCAGGAGGGGUCAGCAAGAAGCAGGAUGGGUCAACAAGGAGCAGGAGGGGUCAGAAAGGAGCAGGUGGGGUCAGCAAGGAGCAGGAGGGGUCAGAAAGGAGCAAGAAGGGUCAGCAAGGAGCAGGAGGGGUCAGCAAGGAGUAGGGGGGUCAGCAAGGAUUAGGAAGGGGCAGCAAGGAGGAGGAUGUUCAGCAAAAAGCAGAAAGGGUCAGCAAGGGGCAGGAGGGGUCAGCAAGGAGCAGAAAGGGGCAGCAAGGAGCAGGAAAGGUCUGCAAUGAGCAGAAAGGGUCAGCAAUGAGCAGGAAGGAUCAGCAAUGAGCAGGAAGGGACAGCAAGGAGCAGGAAGGGACAGCAAGGAGCAGGAAGGGACAGUGCGGCGAAAGUGACCUCGACACUGGUUUUUGGAGGGGCCUUGUUGCCCGUCUCAUAUCUUCUGACUAUGGCCUCUGGGAGUUUUUGCCCAUUAUAAACAUUGUUUGGGCUUAUUGGAUUUUGGAACACUUUUUCUGCCCCUUUGAAUCCAUGGGAAGGUGUGCCUCUUCCCUUCCCCCCCAUUGUUCUCUAGCAGGGCGUUGUCCCAGGGACUCUGCCAGACCAGUUGGAACUGGCUGCUUUGUCCCUCCUCGGUCAGAAAAAGCACUUCCAACUAACUUUUUAACCACUGAAGGGAAUUGGUGAAUUUUGGAUAUGUUUAUAUUUGAAGUGUGCUGAUUAAUAAUAUGUAUAUCUUAUGGAGAUUGGAUGUAUAUUUUAGAAGAGUCAGAAAGGGGCAGGAGGGGUCAGCAAGGAGCAGGAAGGGGCAGCAAGGAGCAGGAGGGGUGAGCAAGGAGUAGGAAGGGGCAGCAAGGAGCAGGAGGGGUCAGGCAGGAGUAGGAGGGGUCAGCAAGGAGCAGGAUGGGUCAGCAAGGAGCAGGAUGGGUUAGCAAGGAGUAGGAAGGGUCUGCAAGGAGCAGGAGUGGUCUGCAAGGAGCAGGAGGGGUCAGCAAGGAAGAGUGGAAGGGGCAGCAAGGAGCAGGAGGGGUCAGAAAUGAGCAGGAAGGGUCAGCAAGGAGCAGGAAAGGUCAGCAAGGANNNNNNNNNNNNNNNNNNNNNNNNNNNNNNNNNNNNNNNNNNNNNNNNNNNNNNNNNNNNNNNNNNNNNNNNNNNNNNNNNNNNNNNNNNNNNNNNNNNNGGAGCAGGAAGGGGAAGCAAGGAGCAGGAAGGGUCUGCAAGGGGUAGGAAGGAUCAGCAAGGAAUUGGAAGAGUGAAAGGGGCAGCAAGGAGCAGGAGGGGUCAGCAAGGAGCAGAAAGGGUCAGCAAGGAGCAGGAUGGGUCAGCAAGGGGCAGGAUGGGUCUGCAAGGGGCAGGAGGGGUCAGCAAGGAGUAGGAAGAGGCAGCAAUGAGUAGGAAGAGGCAGCAAGAAGCAGGAGGGGCAGAAAAUGUCAGCAAGGAGUAGGAGGGGUCAGCAAGGAUUAGGAAGGGGCAGCAAGGAGCAGGAAGGGUCAGCAAGGAGCAUGAGGGGUCAGCAAGGAGCAGGAAGGGCCAGCAAGGAGCAGGAAGGACCAGGAAGGAGCAGGAAGGACCAGGAAGGAGUAGGAAGGGUCCGCAAGAAGCAGAAAGGGUCAGUGUAACAGGACUAUGCUUUCUGCCUGGACACAUUUACAAUAAAACAAGUGGAUUUACAAAAUACCGAAUUGCAUGUUUCAUGUGAAUUACCAUUACCUGAGAAUAAAGCCAAACUACCGAACACCGGACCACCCAGGGGAACAAUUAAGUGAUACUUUACCUCCCAGCUCUUUUUAGCCAUUCGCAUGUUUCAGCACGAAUCCUUUGUGCUCAGAAUAGAUGGCCACCAUUUCGGGACUUUACACGUGUUCGCGGCCAUCUUACACACGAACAGCGGUGUUUGCCAGUGAUUGCAUGGAACUAAAAACGGAUACGCAAACAGGCGAACACCGCUGAGACCUCCGUGACACCAUAGAUUCGUGCCGGAACUACCGAACAACCGGCCGUUCGAUAGUUAGACUAAAGCUUACAUGGGGAUUCCAACGAACACCGGGAUGAAUGUGGAUGGCAAGGGUUUCGUGGGAUUUUAUGCACGAAUGAAGACCGACCGCAAGGCCAAAACUUGUGGAACUAUUUUCGGCUAGAAAGUCUGUGCGGUCGGUCAAAACUUCAAAGACCCAUAACUGACGAACCCCUCAACCGAAUGAGUUGGAAUUUGGAUAUGUUGUUCCCCUGAAUGAGAGCUAUCGGGCAAUACUAGAUUUAAAGAUGUACCCCCUGUUUUUGGGGUACAUCCAGAACUUGGGUAAAAUUGUGUAUGUUUUAAUUAUGUUAAAUGUUUAUCUGAGAGGAGGAGACGUUGGGGUUGUACCAUGUAUAUGAUUGGUUAUUGUGAUAAUUAUGUAGGUGUAGCCCUUUCCAGUGCAGCAUUGUAUAAAAGGAGACCCCUGUCAAUAAACAUCAGUUCUACUUGACCCUUCAAAACGUAGCCUCGUCUCGUUCUUGGAGGGGGGGAUUUAUUGUACAGUUACUCUGCCUCAUUUUACAGUGAUUCCUUCUUGUACCCUUGGAUAUCAUGGAUGGGAAUAAGAACUCCAUUACUUCACAGCAGCUUGCCUAGAAAAGGACGUCUCCAACGGCAGAUACCCCUUACCAGCUGGGUAGCCGUUACAUUGGUGGCAGCGGCGGGAUGGUCCUUUUCAUCCCCAAAGCAAGUGCUGAAUGGAGUCACAGUACGCUAGACUGGAGAGGCCCACACUAAAGGAUCUGUUGGAAACCAGGGGAAGGAGUGCCAGCAACCGACCAUGGAGAGAGCUGAUAGCUGACCUACUGGAGCUGGACGAGAUGGAUAGAUCCAUGGAGGUCGCUGACCAACCCACUCCUGUCAGCACGGAGGAUGACAUUACUAGCAUUGUACAGCGGAGGUUACUCCUGUAUCCAGCAACUUCCGUGGAACUCAUCGAACAGCUGUUCUGGGAAGCGAGAGCGGAGAUCCAAAAUAAGAGGGGACACGAACUUGAACUGGCAAGAGCUAGACAACCCAUUGCACAUGCAGUUCAUACUCCCCCACCCGCUGCUACAGGGCAGAAAAUACCGUUCACUGCGUUCAAAGCGUUUGUGGAAAGUGAGGAAGAGAUUGACGGGUAUUUGGCUGAUUUUGAAAGGCAGUGCUCACUACACCAGAUACCACCAGAUCAAUGGGUCACUAUCCUGGCUGGGAAACUAUCAGGAAAAGCAAACAAAGCUUUUUGGGCACUUACUGCAGAGGAUAUAUCGCAGUAUCAACGGGUGAAAGACGCACUGCUCAUCAGGUAUGCUGUAACCCCAGAAAGAUAUCGCCGCCGCUUCCGGGAGUCCAAAAAGAAGGCUGGAGACUCCCACAUGGAAUGGGCAAACAGGAUACAAAUCACAUUGGGUACGAGGGUGCAAGGCCAACACCGGAGAGGAAGUGUUGCAGUUGUUCCUAAUGGAACAUUUCUUCCAAGAUUUGGCUGUGGAUAUACAGGACUGGGUAAGAGAUCGCCGCCCUGCUAACUUAAACGAGGCAGCGCGGCUAGCGGAUGAGUACGCAGAGAUGAGAAAUGUGAGCCAGGGUACCACACGACCAACAGCUAAAGGAGAGCCACGCACCCCAACCUACGCUGCACGCACAGAGUUUCGGACUCCAGUACCCCCAGGACCUCCACGUCCUCAGGGGUCUAACAACUACCCCUGGGAUUCUUCUAAGGUGACGUGCCAUCGCUGCGGCAACACGGGACAUAUUGCUCGUUAUUGCCCUUUGGGAUCGACCAAUAAUAACUGGAGGCGCACAACACCUAACACAGAGAUCCCACCAUCACGCCCCUCUGCUGCCCACUGCCUGGAGACCGAAGGGAGCCCGGAGGAGUGUCUGGGAAUCUUGUAUGAGGCAAACCCGAUACAAGCCGCCUCCCCAGAUAACAGCCAGCAUCACCGCCAGGGGGUGCGUGUGAAUGGACAGGUAGCACAAGGCCUAAGGGAUACUGGCGCUACUAUCACUUUGGUUCAAAAACACCUUGUAAAGCCAGAACAUUUGUCUACUCGUAUAGUUGCUGUCCAUGUCGCGGGGGGGCUGUUUUUCACUUACCCACCGCCCGGGUACACUUAGAUUGGGGAGUCGGGUCAGGGAAGACCACAGUAGGCAUCAUGGACAAUUUACCUGCUGAAGUCGUGUUGGGCAACGACAUUGGCCCUCUUGUUUCAGCCUAUUUACCUACGCCUGCUGCUGCUUGUCCCGUGACCACCCGCUCACUGACCCAUAUCAAAGAUGAUCCUCCAACAGGCCAGGAGACCCAGGUAAGCCACAAACCGACACUUAGCACUAAUACAGCAGAGAGAACCAUAGCUUGGGACACCCCAGACGAGUUUGGGAGGGAAACUAGAGAGGACCCCACCCUCCAAAAGUACCGAGAAUUAGCAGACAGUGGAGGGGAUGAGCGUUUUAUAUGGGAAGGUGACAGGUUAUACAGAUUGACCGAAGGUAGGAGAAGAGGCUGUGUCCCUUCGCAGAAGCGCCAGCUAGUGGUACCCAGAAAGUACCGGUUGGAACUUCUACGAAUCGGACACGACAUCCCGUUGGCAGGGCAUCUAGGGGGUAACGCACCACCACACAGACUUUUUUCUGGCCUGGGAUCUCGAGGGACGUGCGGUGUUACUGCGACAUAUGCCAACGAGUAGGGAAGAGAGGAGAUCACCCUAAAGCUCGACUGUCACCCAUGCCUGUGAUCGAGGAACCGUUUAGCCGGGUGGCAGUCGACCUAGUGGGACCCCUACCUAACCCCAGCCCCUCGGGUAAGAAAUAUAUUCUUACAGUAGUGGACUAUGCUACACGCUACCCAGAAGCCAAGGAGGGAGAGAUAGAGCAUGAGGGUGUUCCUAUCGUGCCAUAUGUACUGGAGAUGCGGGACCGUAUGGGCCCGUGAACAUCUCCAGGCGGCCCAGGGCCGUCAGAAACAUUGGUACGAUCGGGGCGCCCGUCCAUCCAAUACCGCCCUGGUAGGUUCAAUGGGAACGCAAACGGACUGUCCAGGCAAACAGAACUUUUACCCUAACAGCAGGCCGGACAGCCCCAAGUUGACCCGAAAAGGAUCAAUCCGGGUCUGCCUGAGUGUUCCACAAAAGGGGAGCAGUGCUUUCUACCUGAACACAUUUACAAUAACACAGAUGGAUUUACAAAAUACCGAAUUGCCUGUUUCAUGUGAACUACCAUUACCUGAGAAUGAAGCCAAACUACCGAACCCCGGACCACCCAGGGGAACAAUUAAGUGAUACUUUACGUCCCAGCUCUUUUCAGCCAUUCGCAUGUUUCAGCACGAAUCCUUUAUGCUCAGAAUAGAUGGCCGCCAUUUCGGGACUUUACACGUGUUCGGGGCCAUCUUACGCACGAACAGCGGUGUUUGCCAGUGAUCGCCUGGAACUAAAAACGGAUACGCAAACAGGCGAACACCGCUGAGAUCUCCGUGACACCAUAGAUUCGUCUUUUUUGCAGCUUGAUCAGGUCUUUUUUGCAGCUAUUUAGUCUUGAUAAAGUCCCGUGGGCGGGACGAAACGCGUAGACGUGGCUGCACUUUAUCAUUGGACCCGCUGUUUUUUUCAGCUGCCUUUUUCAUGUUAUUUUUAUUUUUAUUUAUGAGUUAGAGCUCUUUGUGUUAUCGCAUCCCGGAUUUCUGGAGAGUAAAGAUCCUCAGAUAUACUGACCGCUGUUUUAUCUAUUUAUACCGCGGUCUUUUUUGAAGAUACCGACCGCGGUAUAAGCUCACAGUCUGUUUGUUUUUUACUUGUUGUAUCGGCGGGCGGUCUGUUACCACUACACCGCGGUCUUUUUUGAAGAUCCCGACCACGGUGUUUUUCAUCGGCAUCUGACGGAGGUCCGCUGCUCAGAACUCUUACUUACUUAUAUUUAUUUAUUUUUUAUUUGGUUUUUCUGUUUGAAGUACCCAUCUUCAUACAUAUACCUCGGUGGGGGGCCCACACCGAGGCAGGUACUAUUUUUCUUUAUUUAUUAUUAUUUUGUAUAUAUAUUUUGUGUUGUUUCUUUUUACACAAUUUGUAUUACUCUUUAGGCAGCUGUUUUGAUAUUUUUUCUUAUACUAAGUAUCUAUAAUUUAGAGUUCAUUCGUGUAUUGUCCAGAACAGUGGGUUCAUGUUUUUAUAUUCAUUUAUUGUUUGGUUAGAUUUAUUCUGAUUAUAUUUUAUAUGAGUCUUAUCUCAAUAAAUAUAUCAUAUUUUUUAAAGUAAUUUUGAGCGCACAUACUUUUUUUGAGCUAACAAUCAUUUUCAGACGCUUGUGAAACGUAUGUAGCUGCUAGUUUGAGUAGUUGAGAUCUAUUACACUGUGUAUCUAUCUUUUCAUUACCAUAGAUUCGUGCCAGAACUACCGAACAACUGGCCGUUCGGUAGUUAGACUAAAGCUUACAUGGGGAUUCCAGCGAACACCGGGAUGAAUGUGGAUGGCAAGUGUUUCGUGGGGUUUUUAUGCACGAAUGAAGACCGAACGCAAGGACAAAACUUGUGGAACUAUUUUCGGCUAGAAAGUCUGUGCGGUCGGUCAAAACUUCAAAGACCCAUAACUCCCGAACCCCUCAACCGAAUGAGCUGGAAUUUGGAUAUGUUGUUCCCCUGAAUGAGAGCCACCGGGCAAUACUAGAUUUAAAGAUGUACCCCCUGUUUUUGGGGUAAAUCCAGAACUUGGGUAAAAUUGUGUAUGUUUUAAUUAUGUUAAAUGUUUAUCUGAGGGGAGGAGACGUAGGGGUUGUACCAUGUAUGUGAUUGGUUAUUGUGAUAAUUAUGUAGGUGUAGCCCUUUCCAGGGCAGCAUUGCAUAAAAGGAGACCCCUGUCAAUAAACAUCAGUUCUACUUGACCCUUCAAAACGUAGCCUCGUCUCGUUCUUGGAGGGGGGGAUUUAUUGUACAGUUACUCUGCCUCAUUUUACAGUGAUUCCUUCUUGUACCCUUGGAUAUCAUGGAUGGGAAUAAGAACUCCAUUACUUCACAGCAGCUUGCCUAGAAAAGGACGUCUCCAAUGACAGAUACCCCUUACCAGCUGGGUAGCCGUUACAGUCAGCAAGGAGCAGGAAGUGUCAGCAAGGAGUAGGAGGGGUCAGCAAGGAGCAGGAGGGGUCAGCAAGGAGUAGGAAGAGGCAGCAAGGAGCAGGAGGGGUCAGCAAGGAGUAGGAAGGGUAUGCAAAGGGCAGAAGGGGUCAGCAAGGAGUAGGAAGAGGCAGCAAGGAGCAGGAGGGGUCAGCAAGGAGUAGGAAGAGGCAGCAAGGAGUAGGAAGAGGCAGCAAGGAGUAUGAAGGGUCUGCAAGGAGCAGAAAAGGUCUGCAAGGAACAGGAAGGGUCAUCAAGGAGCAGGAAGGGUCAGCAAGAAGCAGGAGGGGUCAGCAAGGAGUAGGAAGGGUCUGCAAGGAGCAGGAGGGGUCAGCAAGGAGUAGGAAGGGGCAGCAAGGACCAAGAGGGGUCAGCAAGGAGUAGGAAAGGUCAGCAAGGAGCAGAAAAGGUCAGCAAGGAGCAGGAGGGGUCAGCAAGCAGGAGGGGUCAGCCAGAAGCAGGAAGGGUCAGCCUGGAGCAAGAGGGGUCAGCAAGGAGCAGGAAGGGUCAGCAAGGAGCAGAAGGGGUCAGCAAGGAGCAGAAGGGGUCAGCAAGGAGCAGAAGGGGUCAGCAAGAACCAGGAAAGGUCAACAAGGAGCAAGAGGUGUCAGAAAGAAGCAGGAAGCUUCAGCAAGGAGUAGGAGGGGUCAGCAAGGAGGAGGAGGAGGGGCAGCAAGGAGCAGGAAGGGUCAGCAAGGAGUAGAAAGGGGCAGGAAGAAACAGGAGUGGUCAGACAGAAGCAGGAAGGGUCAGCCUGGAGCAAGAGGGGUCAGCAAGGAGCAGGAAGGGUCAGCAAGGAGCAGAAGAGCAGGAGGGGUCAGCAAGGAGCAGGAGGGGUCAGCAAGGAGUAGAAAGGGGCAGGAAGAAACAGGAGUGGUCAGCAAAAAGCAGGAAAGGUCAGUAAGGAGCAGGAGUGGUCACAAGUAGCAGGAGGGGCAGCAAGGAGCAGGAAGGGGUCAGCAAGGAUUUGGAAGGGGCAGCAAGGAGCAGGAGGGGUCAGCAAGAAGCAGAAAGGGUCAGCAAGGAGCAGGGAACUGCAAGGAACAGAAAGGGUCAGAAAGGAGCAGGAGGGGUCAGCAAGGAGCAGGAAGGGUCAGCAAGGAGCAGGAGGGGUCAGCAAGGAGCAGGAGGGGUCAGCAAGGAUUAGGAGGGGUCUGCAAGGAUUAGGAGGGGUCUGCAAGGGGCAGGAGGGGUCGUUAAGGGGCAGGAGGGCUCAGGAAGGGUCAGCAAGGAGCAGGAAGGGUCAGCAAGGAGCAGGAGGGGUUAGCAAGGAGUAGGAAGAGGCAGCAAGGAGUAAGAAGGGUCGGCAAGGAGCAGGAAGGGUCAGCAACGAGCAGGAAGGGUCAGCAACGAGCAGAAAGGGGCAGGAAGAGCAGAAAGGAGCAGGAGGGGUCAGCAGGAGCAGGAGGAGGAGUCAGAAAGGAGCAGGAGGAGUCAGCAAGGAGCAGAAAGGGUCAGCAAGGAGCAUGAGGGGUCAGCUAGGAGCAGGAGGGGUCAGCAAGGAGUAGGAAGGGGAAGCAAGGAGCAGGAAGGGUCUAAGGAAAGAUCAGCAAGGAAUAGGAAGAGUGGAAGGGGCAGCAAGGAGCAGGAG
rnacentral:lncRNA from 1 species